AAUAAUAAUACCCUGUCGUCCCAGGAUAAUAUUGAGGAAUCCGCGCAGAUUAUUUUGGGGCGACCAUUUAAUCUCAGGAUGCUGAAGAAAUUCAGCAUGUCCCGAGGGCCCUCACAGUGUUCUACAGGAGCACCAUUGAGAGCAAACUGUCUGGCUGCAACUCCACCACCAGGGAACACAAGGCGCUACAGUGGGUGGUACACUCAGCCUGCCCUCCAGGACACCUACACCAAGUGUUGCAGGAAGGCCAAGAAGAUCCUCAGGGACCCCAGCCACCCGAGCUAUGGCCUGUUCUCCCUGUCUCCAUCACUCAGACGAGGGCAGAAUAUGAGCAUCAUGGCAAAAACUGUAAGACUGGCCAAUAGCUUCUACCCCCAGACCUUCAGGCUGCUGAAUAGCCACCACUAAAUCAGCUAUCUUCUCCCCAUUUCACUGUACCCUGUAAUUACAUCUGCAACCCUGUACAUGUGACUAUUAAACUAAUCUAAAAUAUAAUAUAAUCAUGACUAAUCAUGGCUGUGGUAAGUAGUGGAAGCCCUGCUAGUCUGGCUACUGCUGCAUUCAAAACAACUGCGAACUAGGAAAUCUCUGACUUCCGAGCUUUCAAGACAACUGGGAACUCGGAACGGUCAUCCAACUCGGAAUUCCAAGUCGGACACUCAACAUCUUUCUAGGACUCCGACCUGAAGAUCACUGAUGUCAUGAUUUGACCUCGUUUUAAGUAAUGUGGGUCACAUUAGCCAGGCCCAAAAUCCCCACCACACAGAAUACUCCUAGAUUCAAAUAAAUAUCUGAAACUGGCA